AUACGUAGGGGGCGAGCGUUGUCCGGAAUGAUUGGGCGUAAAGGGCGCGUAGGCGGCCCGGUAAGUCUGGAGUGAAAGUCCUGUUUUUAAGAUGGGAAUUGCUUUGGAUACUGUCGGGCUUGAGUGCAGGAGAGGUAAGUGGAAUUCCCAGUGUAGCGGUGAAAUGCGUAGAGAUUGGGAGGAACACCAGUGGCGAAGGCGACUUACUGGACUGUAACUGACGCUGAGGCGCGAAAGUGUGGGGAGCAAACAGGAUUAGAUACCCUGGUAGUCCACACUGUAAACGAUGAAUGCUAGGUGUAGGGGGUAUCGACCCCUUCUGUGCCGCAGUCAACACAAUAAGCAUUCCGCCUGGGGAGUACAGCCGCAAGGUUGAAACUCAAAUGAAUUGGCGGGG
rnacentral:rRNA from 1 species